AAAUAAUUGACAUAUGAAAACAUUCAGUUGCAACGUUCAGUUCUAUUUAGGCAAAGUCUUAGUUAGGCCUUCCCUGGUUCCCAGCCUCUGUAAGCACGUUCUCUCCAUAGGUAUAGCCAUUGAACUUGAGCUUGCAGGCUCAGCAUGAUCCUAAGCUCUACAAGAAUCUUAACUGUAGGAGGAAGAAGCUAAAGAGCUUUAGUCCAAGGCUCUGGAACUUAGCAUCAAGCCCUACCCUGACCUAACGCCUUUUGUUUAUAGAUAGGGAAUUGUCUUCUCCCAGAGACCCACUUCCUGCAUUUUGUACCCGUGGGGAUAACUGAGACUUGUCUUGCUGGCACAUACCCCGUCCACCUAGCCCUGAGGCUCUUCCUUUCUCUCCCCGUUGUCACUUUUGGAUUUAAUUAAGGACUGGAAUCCCUCAAAGCCUACGUGGUACGUGGGGCCCUCCCGGACACUGGUAGGUUUUGUUAGUGUCAACUAUGUAGCUCUUGGGUGCUCCAGAUAUCCCUUGCUCCUGUAUCUUGCAUUCCAGUGUCCUGCAUGCCUAUCCAGGCAUUCUUUUACCUCACGGUGGACUGACUCCACUCCAAGGGCCUACUCUUUGCUGGUUCCCCCUACUUUCUGGACACCCUGUUAUGCCUGGGUCUGGAUUUUCUUGUGGCAUCUCCCUCUGAGUCUGUUUCCACCCCAAGCUUGAGUCUUUCGGCAAGUCGGAAGCACAGGACCAAUAGAGCUUUUUGAGCUUCUGAUAGAUGUAUGUCACAUUUCGUAUGUUGUCAACGUCUGCAGAUGUUUGGACCCUUCCUGCUUGUCGGCCACUUCACGCCUAUUGGAUAAUUUUUUUUUUUUUUUUUUUUUUACAUAGAGUCCAAAGGAAUAUCUUGUGACUUAGCACCAAGUCUGAAUGUGCCUCAUUGGAAGUUUGCAAACUGUGCUGUGCUGACUUAUGUCCGUACUUUGUCCAAAGAGCAAUUCACUAAUAUGGACCCGUUUUCAAUUCUGCGGAGGUUUUCCGAAUAGUAAAUGUUUGUGGAUUUGAACUUGGUUAGACACUGACUGUCCCAGAAAUGUUAAAGCGAGUGAUCUUUUUACCGCUUCGUUCAUUCAUUCACUCAUUCAUUCACUCACUGCAGACCGCGGACCUUUCUGACCCUCAGUUCACCCCGUUGUCAAAUGGUUGUGAAGGUUACCGACAGCGUAGGUAAGAUACUUUCAGAAAUUAGAAACUAAAAACUAAAAAUAACAGAAAGCACUCACUGUUCUGAUCGCCUACGGUGUAAUCUGGAAUUGAGUGCCCUGUUCUGCCUUCAGACCUGCUGUAGAACAUGCUGUCGUUUGCUGUUCGACUUGUAGCAGAGUUUAGAGUUUUUCUCACAGGUACAGCUCCCUGUGCUUGAUUCUGUGUGGAAAUCGUAGCUUUGAGCUGCACUCUUCUCUCUCUCGGUUCUCGUUUGGAGUUUUCUAAGAGGUAAAUACAUGCUGUCAAGCUCUAGCGUGAUACCUGUCACAGGAUAGGAAGCCAAUCCAAGUUUCACUCUAAGUGGGGAGUGUAGGUUGCUACAGUGUGUUUGGAGGGUGAUUCGACAGUACUUUUCCAGAUUUUCAGUUUGCAUAUCCUUCUUUCCAGCAGUUCUACUUCUGGGACUUGCGAUAUAGUUGUCUACAUGCAUGAGGAUGUUUACAUUGCAGCCUGUCUGUUAACAGAGGACAAAGAAACUGAACACAACUAAAAGCCCCUGGACAGUGUCCUGGUUAUGUAAAUUAUGGUACUUAUAAUCACUGGAAUACUAUGAAGCCAUUAACAAGAAUAGAACGGACGUAUGCCUCAAUUGACUGGGAAAUGCACUGUCCGAGGUAUAUUGUAGACUAGGUAUAGUACGCUGCUUUUCUGUAAAACAGAGGAUAUGCAUAGAGGUAGAAAGAAGCGUUUGUAUACAGUAUACGAUGUGUGAAUGUGAGCUCUUGGAAGAUAUCUGGAAGAACCACACAAGGAACUGGGGGAGUGGGACUUGACUGUUCCUUCCCGGUCCUGGACUGCUGGAAAUCUGCAGGCGAUGGCGUACACGCCCCCGUCUGCAUGAGCUGUGCUAGCGGCCUGCGGCGAGAGAGGGCGCCGUAGCCAGCAGAGUCCUGUUUCCUAGCGGAGCAUCUCAGGCCUCCGGCGCGGUGACGUCCUGGGGACGGGCGGUGGCGCAUGCGCGGUUGGAAGGCUGCUGGGCGCCGAGCGGGCUGCUGCGCGGGCGCUUGCGGGCCGGGCUGUUUUUCCGGCAGCGAGGGCGCUGGAGUGGCGGCUUUGGCGCUGUUGGCGUUGGGUGGUGGGCCUGUUGGGGCCCACGUGAGCCGAUGGCAUCACGCCCGCGGCGGCCGGGGCCAGGGGCGCGUCUUUUCCAGACUUGGCACGUCCAGGAGGCGGGGCGGAAACCACAUCCCCGAAAGAGUUUGGAAGGCAGUCUUGCUCCGGGAGAACUUUCCUUCUCCCUUGAAUCUUUUUAGCAAAAUCCAAGAACGGAGUGAAGAACUUGGACUGACGAUUGUUUGAAGCUACACUCACCGCUGUUGUAAAGCAGAGCCUGUGAAUCUUGUUACCUCUGCGGUCUGCCUGCCUGAGUUGAAACCCCGGCUCUCGCACUAGCGAGCUCUUCGUCUUGGGCAAAUUCUUGACGCUCUCCAAGCCUGUCUCCUCAUCUGUGAAAUGGGCUGCCCCACAAGGCCUAGCACGGAGCGCCUGUGGACCCCUGGGCGCCUGCGUCCUGCGCCGUUGGAGUGGCGACUCGGUGCACGUGUGUGUCCCCCGCUGUCACCCCGUGGGAUGGACGCCUUCCAGCGGAUUUUUCUCCUGCGGUUUGGGUGAUGGCGAUGUUUGGAGAAGACAGCAACUGGCCGAUUGGAUGGAGGAGGACCUGGCGGGCCCCUCAAGUCAUUAUUUAUGAAGAGACAUAUUUCUAACGAAGAUAUACAGGUGGGCGACAGGCACAGGAAAAGAUGCUCAACGUCACUACUUAUUAGGAAAAUACAAAUGAAAAGCACAAUGAGAUACCCACCUCAGGCCGGUCAGAAGGGCUAGUAGAAAAAGACAAGAAUUAACAGGUCUUGGAAGUACGUGGUGCAAAGGGAACCCUAGUACCCUGCUGGUGGGAGUGUAAAUUGGUACAGCCGCUGUGGAAAACCGUAUGAAGAUUUUUCAAAAAGUUAACAAUAGAACUACCCCGUAUGAUCCAGCUAUUCCACUUCUGGGUGUUCAUCCAAAGCACACAAAAGCGCUAAUUCAAAAAGAUAUAUGAACCCCUGUGUUCAUCGCAGCGUUAUUCAGAACAGCCAAGACUUGGAAACAACCUAAGUGCCCAUCGCCCGACAAAUAGAUAAAGAAGUUGUGGGAGAUAUACACAAGGGAAUAUAGUACUUAGCCGUAGAAAAGAGGAAAUCUUGCCAUUUGCGACAGCAGGGAUGGACCUCGGGCGUAUUACGCUAAGCGGGAUGAGUCAGGUGGAGAAAGACAGAUACCGUGUGACUUCACUCGUGUAUGUGGAAGGUAAACAAGCAAACACAUAGAGACAGAACAGACUGGUGGUUAGCAGAAGGAAAAGGGCGGGAGGAGGGGGAAGGGGGAUAAGGGGCAGCUGUGUACGAUGACGGAUGGCAGUUAGAGCUGUGGCGGGGAACACGACGUAGUCUGUGCAGAAGGCGAACUAUAAUGAUGCACAUCGAAGAAUAAAAUCUAGGCCCCUUCCAGAAGUUGGAUGCCGUCCACCAGUAAGCUCCGGAUGCUGUGCUCUGAAAGCCGGGUGGGUCCCCAACAGGCGCUAGCCAGUACUGAGGACUGCCCUGGCGUAGAGGCCCCUCGGCUUGAGGCCUUGCUCCUUCGCGUGCAGUGUGAGCUGAGCCCACUGCUGACCCUCAGUGGUGAAGUGGCUCAGUGACCCUGGCCUUGCAUGUGGUGGCAAAGGUUACGUGAGGUGGUGCGUUCGCGGGCCUGGUGCGCAGGUGUUGAGGAAAUGGUGAUUUCUAUCCCA